AUUAAAAGGGAUUUAACUACAGUUUGGAAAUUUAUUUUUAGUCAAUAUUAAGGUUCAAAUCUGAAGUCUAGACGCCUUACCCAUGCCUAACUCCCCAUCAGAUUUUUCUUUUGAACUCUAAAACCCUAAGCUUAAUAAAGGCCCUCAUCUGACCUUCUUCUUCUUGAACCCCUGAACCCUAGAGAAGAAAAAGAUACAGCCGCCUAACCCAGAACACCCCAUCGCCGCUUCUUCUUUUCACCUUCAAGCUCGCUAAAAUAACCUUCAACCGCUGCUGGUCUUCUUCACCCUCGCAAAAUUAACCAGAAACCUCGUCCAAAUCCGCCCACCAUCGUAACUCCACCUUGAAGAAGCAGCUGCCGUACUCAUCUUGAAAAUCUCUCAUCUCCCUUAGCCUCCAUAUCUAGUCAAGCUUCACCACUAGACGGCCAUGGUUUCCAUCCGUUGAAAAGGUCGGAAAUGGACAGUGAGAAACAACCCAGAAAAAGCCCUAAACCACUGUUGCUUAGACCCCAAAAAUUUGCCGCUCCCUACUAUUAACACCUAGAGGCCAAACUCAUUUUUACUACCAGAUUGGGGCAAGAAUUCAGCGAGCUAAAAGCUUCAGAUCUCCAAAUAUGAAUUAAGUUUCAGUUUCUACCUGAGAAGAAGUCCGUCUGAGGUUGUCGUUUGAUUUUUUGUCGAGGUUUUAGUCGUCCCUCCAAUCCCAAUUCUGGGUCAAGUCUUUUUUGUUGAUAGAUGUAUUAUUUGCUCCAUUUGACCUUUUGCUAGAAGAUACUGUGUUGAUCAAAAAUGUGAAUGUAAAAUUAUUCAUUAUAAGAUAACUUUUGUGGUCCCAAUAUUUCAUAUAAAGAUUUGGUUAUUUAGUUUACUGCCUGAGUUUUCACCAAAUUAAAAUUUGCUGGUUUGAGCCCUACCGUAAAGUCCGCGUUGAAAUUUAAAUCGGGGUAUGCUUGAUUUUGUCGGUUCAUGGCAGUUUCGAUCGAGUUCAAGAAGUACGUUCAACUUAGAUCUAAUUAACAUCCUCUCUCUAACUGAGGUUCAGUUAUCUCAUCCUCUACUCAUUUUAUUUUAGCUUAAUGUUAAUUGUUUACAUGGUGAUAUAAUUCCA
rnacentral:lncRNA from 1 species